UACAUGGAUAUGUAACGAAAAAAACAGCGACAAUGCAAUAAUAAUGCUAAUUGGUGUUUUAGAACUGUAACAGAUGAAAGAAGAGAUAUAGAGUUUAGUUCACCAUGUUUGGCGAUCUAGAAUCCACCUAAAAUGCUGCUAUUGACAAAAUCAAAGAGGAAACAGUUCAACACCAUAAUCCCUCACAAAAACUCAACAAAAUCACCUCCUAACAACAUAAUUUACUAUAUUUAUUUACUAAAAAAUUCAUGGUUAUAGAAAUCCCAAUCAAAAUAAAACAUGUUACUUACCUCCAAAAUCACACUUUCGAACUCGCCACGUCGAUCACAUUCUCGCCUUAGGCUCCUUCUCUCUUUCUUCCUCUCUCUAUCUACCUCACACAUUCUAUGUAGCAUAUUGAACUUUAGCAAAUUAUAAGGUUCCAGUGUUAGAAUAGCAUGUUGAGCUAUUCUGAAAGUUUUGAUGGUUGUCUAGAGUGUGUUGACAUGUUUUCGGAGCUAAAUGAGCGCGAGAAUAGGUUUUUGACGUCAAAAUCUGCAAACUGCAAUUUUGGUGUUGAGAACCGGUACCGGCUUGAG
rnacentral:lncRNA from 1 species